rnacentral:rRNA from 1 species
GAUGAACGCUGGCGGCGUGCCUAAUACAUGCAAGUCGAGCGAACAGACGAGGAGCUUGCUCCUCUGACGUUAGCGGCGGACGGGUGAGUAACACGUGGAUAACCUACCUAUAAGACUGGGAUAACUUCGGGAAACCGGUGCUAAUACCGGAUAAUAUAUUGAACCGCAUGGUUCAAUAGUGAAAGACGGUUUUGCUGUCACUUAUAGAUGGAUCCGCGUCGCAUUAGCUAGUUGGUAAGGUAACGGCUUACCAAGGCAACGAUGCGUAGCCGACCUGAGAGGGUGAUCGGCCACACUGGAACUGAGACACGGUCCAGACUCCUACGGGAGGCAGCAGUAGGGAAUCUUCCGCAAUGGGCGAAAGCUUGACGGAGCAACGCCGCGUGGGUGAUGAAGGUCUUCGGAUCGUAAAACUCUGUUAUUAGGGAAGAACAAAUGUAUAAGUAACUAUGCACGUCUUGACGGUACCUAAUCAGAAAGCCACGGCUAACUACGUG